rnacentral:lncRNA from 1 species
GCCGGUGCCUUCGCCGUUCCCGGGCAGUUCAGGGCGGGCUGAGGCCGCCCCCCGCACUGUCCCCGCGAGCGGGAGGAAGCCGAGGCCCCGCGGCCCCCGCCGUCGAGGCAGGGGCGUGCUCGGCGAAGACCGAUCCUCACCCGAGCGCCGGCGCCUCGGGCGCUGCCGUCCCAGCCGGGGAAUGCCCGGCGGCUCGCGGCUGAGGUCCCCGCGGCCGGGGAGGCCGAGGCGCGUCUGCCUGUAAACAGCGACCCGGGAGGCCGGGCGGCACGUUCGAGGCCAGCCUGGCGACUCAGUGAGACCUGCUCGGCGCGAGCGUGUGCCAGGCCCGAGCGGGACCUGCUGCAUCCCGGGGCCGCCCAGUAGGGCGCGGGCAGCCGCGGGUCUCGCACGACACGGAGCACACCUGUGUGCGGGACCCGGGCGCCGUGCUUGGGUAAAAGUUCUACCGCUGAGCUACCCCCGGCCCGCCGCUAGACCUUCCUACCAGCGCCAGCACCUUGGGUGUUGGAAAUCCUGUCCGCAGGACACCGCAGAGAUGUCCAGCAGCUUCACUCUUGAUUGUCAAUGGUCACAGCGCCAGGAUGUCCUCCAGUCGCCCAAUGGAUGAAUCCUGGGCCAUCCAGACCAUGGACCGUUAUCAGUGAAAAAGAAAUGCGCUGCUGAACAGGAAAGGAUGUGGGAAAACAUAGGUGCACAGUGUAAGGCAAAGACGUGGACUCCAACUCGGACAUAAUGGAGAGGACAUAACGGGGGCAUAACAGAGAGGGCAUAACAGAGGGCAUAACAGAGGGGGCAUAACAGAGAGGGCAUAACAGAGGGCAUAACAGAGAGGGUAGAAAGACCGGUGGUGGCCAGCGAGGGUCAGGGAGGGUGAGAGGCCGAGCCCUAACUGUUCCAUGUGACACUGUGCAGGUGGUGGCCCCCCUAGACCAUGACAUGGAGAGCAGCCUAGAACUUCAGUUGCAGUUGGUGAUGGGUCCUCGCUGCCCACUAGUGUAACAAGUGAACUGCCCCCAGGCAAGACGCCCCUAGUGCUGGGAACUGGGCUUCCUGAUCCGUUUCCCAGUAAACCUAGACUUCUGAAAACAUACAGUGUACUACAAGUAGUGAAGUAUUUAAGGUAAAAACAUUGAAUUAUUAAGAAACAAAUGCAAAUUCUCUAAUUUUGAGGAGGGGAAAGCAUGUUUUAGCAGAAAACCUAAAGGCAUAAGAGAUUGUUUAUUUAUUUACUUUUUUGGUGGUCCUGGGGAUUGAACCCAGGACGUUGUGCAUAUGAAGCAAACACUCUACCAACUGAGUUAUAUCCCCAGCCCAUAAGAGAUUUUUUUUCUGUGAAGACAGAAAAGUUAAUGUGAAAAUUUUUAUACUAUAAAUUAGAAAACAUGACCAAUCUUGGAGAAAAAAAAAAUAGGGCUGGGGAUGU